GCGCGAGCAGGAAAGGUCACGGCGCCGGCGUCCGCGGGGUUACACCUUCUCCAUGUUUCCCACGCGCCCGGAGGUGCGGACCACACGGAUGCACGCAGACAUGUCCAGUCUUCCCAGCCUCCCCCAUGGACCCCGAUAGUCCCGAUUCACAAACGUGUGUCCUCUCCCCGGAGACGGCCGGCCCUGGUGUCCAGAACCGGAGGCACCGGCAGGGACCACGGGCCGCCCGUCCUCCUCCCCGAAGUGCGCCGGAACCCUUCCUUGCCUCCUUGGGGGAACGGUAGUCCCGCUGCCUUCACGGUCGUCCCCCAGACGGCCACGGUUCCCGGUCAAGUGCUCAGGACUCCGCAGACGGGUUUCUGCAGGUCGGGCUGCACCUAUUCCAGGGGCGCCAGGAGUCCCUUCUAUUCUCCUCGGGCUCAGAAGUGGAAAGGAUGGUGUCCGUGUGGAGGCGCUGUGUUUCCCGGGUAUGAGACACGGAUACAUCUGUGUGAGAAUCACAAAGCUGACAGAUUGGUGGCUGCUGUGGCGAGGUCGACCAGAUGGCCCGACAGUUUAUCCACAGAGUAUCCAAUUGAAGACGACCAGAGAAGGAUGUUGAAAUGAAGAACUUUCUUAACACACUGGGAAGUUGGGGAACCUCUCCUUCCAGUCACGAGGUCCUGCCCUGCAGCAACCGACCUGGAAAACCAGACCUCAGCCCCUGCAGCAAUGGGCUCCAGGAUUCAGUGCGUGGUCAGUGACUGUCACCUUCCUUAUUUUUCUUCCUUUCUAUUUAGUGCCAAAUGGGGGAAGCCAAAUCUCAUCUAAGCUGUCACCUGGGACGGCCCUCUUCCUGCCAGCCUGCCUCUGGCUUCCCCAUAUUACACGCUCUGAGCAGGACAUGCUUUCCCUCUUUCCCACCAGAGCAUGUCCCCACUCCUCUGUGUGCCCUGAGUCUCAGCCUAGGCGAGUGGUGGUGGCUGACUCCUUGCUCUGGAGACAAAUUCUGAAGAAACAGUGAAGGAUCAGGAAAAUAUCCUGGAGUAGGAAAUGGCCACCCACUCCAGUAUUCUUGCCUGGAAAAUUCCAUGAACAGAGGAGCCUGGCCAUCUACAGGCCAUGGGGUCACAAAGAGUCAAACACGACUGAGCAUGCACACACAGACACAGGCAUCUUCGUUUAUGUCUACAGAGCUUAGAGUGAGAACGAAAUAAAGCACUGAGGAUAAUAUGUGGGUUUUGUUAU
rnacentral:lncRNA from 1 species